rnacentral:rRNA from 1 species
GAGUGGCGAACGGGUGAGUAACGCGUGAGGAACCUGCCUCAAAGAGGGGGACAACAGUUGGAAACGACUGCUAAUACCGCAUAAGCCCACGGGUCGGCAUCGACCAGAGGGAAAAGGAGCAAUCCGCUUUGAGAUGGCCUCGCGUCCGAUUAGCUAGUUGGUGAGGUAAUGGCCCACCAAGGCGACGAUCGGUAGCCGGACUGAGAGGUUGAACGGCCACAUUGGGACUGAGACACGGCCCAGACUCCUACGGGAGGCAGCAGUGGGGAAUAUUGCACAAUGGGGGAAACCCUGAUGCAGCGACGCCGCGUGGAGGAAGAAGGUCUUCGGAUUGUAAACUCCUGUUGUUGGGGAAGAUAAUGACGGUACCCAACAAGGAAGUGGCGGCUAACUACGUGCCAGCAGCCGCGGUAAAACGUAGGUCACAAGCGUUGUCCGGAAUUACUGGGUGUAAAGGGAGCGCAGGCGGGAAGACAAGUUGGAAGUGAAAUCUAUGGGCUCAACCCAUAAACUGCUUUCAAAACUGUUUUUCUUGAGUAGUGCAGAGGUAGGCGGAAUUCCCGGUGUAGCGGUGGAAUGCGUAGAUAUCGGGAGGAACACCAGUGGCGAAGGCGGCCUACUGGGCACCAACUGACGCUGAGGCUCGAAAGUGUGGGUAGCAAACAGGAUUAGAUACCCUGGUAGUCCACACCGUAAACGAUGAUU